rnacentral:rRNA from 1 species
GACGAACGCUGGCGGCGUGCCUAAUACAUGCAAGUCGAGCGAGCGGAACUAACAGAUUUACUUCGGUAAUGACGUUAGGAAAGCGAGCGGCGGAUGGGUGAGUAACACGUGGGGAACCUGCCCCAUAGUCUGGGAUACCACUUGGAAACAGGUGCUAAUACCGGAUAAGAAAGCAGAUCGCAUGAUCAGCUUUUAAAAGGCGGCGUAAGCUGUCGCUAUGGGAUGGCCCCGCGGUGCAUUAGCUAGUUGGUAAGGUAAAGGCUUACCAAGGCGAUGAUGCAUAGCCGAGUUGAGAGACUGAUCGGCCACAUUGGGACUGAGACACGGCCCAAACUCCUACGGGAGGCAGCAGUAGGGAAUCUUCCACAAUGGACGCAAGUCUGAUGGAGCAACGCCGCGUGAGUGAAGAAGGUUUUCGGAUCGUAAAGCUCUGUUGUUGGUGAAGAAGGAUAGAGGUAGUAACUGGCCUUUAUUUGACGGUAAUCAACCAGAAAGUCACGGCUAACUACGUGCCAGCAGCCGCGGUAAUACGGAAGGUCCGGGCGUUAUCCGGAUUUAUUGGGUUUAAAGGGAGCGUAGGCCGUGGAUUAAGCGUGUUGUGAAAUGCAGGUGCUCAACGUCUGCACUGCAGCGCGAACUGGUCCACUUGAGUGUGCGCAACGCAGGCGGAAUUCGUCGUGUAGCGGUGAAAUGCUUAGAUAUGACGAAGAACUCCGAUUGCGAAGGCAGCUUGCGGGAGCACAACUGACGCUGAAGCUCGAAAGUGCGGGUAUCGAACAGG